AUUGAACGCUGGCGGCAGGCCUAACACAUGCAAGUCGAGCGGAGCGGCGGACGGGCGAGUAAGGCCUAGGAAUGUGCCUGGUAGUGGGGGGUGACGUCCGGAAACGGGCGCUAAUACCGCAUACUAUCAGACGAGCCUAGGUGGGAUUAGCUAGCUGGUGGGGUAAAGGCCCACCUAGGCGACGAUCCGUAACUGGGCUGAGAGGAUGAUCAGUCACACUGGAACUGAGACACGGUCCAGACUCCUACGGGAGGCAGCAGUGGGGAAUAUUGGACAAUGGGCGAAAGCCUGAUGCAGCCAUGCCGCGUGUAUGAAGAAGGUCCUAGGGUUGUAAAGUACUUUCAGUUGGGAGGCGUUACCAACAGAAGAAGCACCGGCUAACUUCGUGCCAGCAGCCGCGGUAAUAC
rnacentral:rRNA from 1 species